rnacentral:rRNA from 1 species
GAUGAACGCUAGCAAUAGGCUUAACACAUGCAAGUCGAGGGGCAUCGAGGGUAGCAAUACCUGUCGGCGACCGGCGCACGGGUGAGUAACGCGUAUGUAACCUGCCCGCAACAGAGGGAUAACCCGGCGAAAGUCGGACUAAUACCUCAUAAAACAGGGGUUCCGCAUGGGGCUAUUUGUUAAAGAUUUAUUGGUUGCGGAUGGGCAUGCGUACCAUUAGGUAGUUGGUGAGGUAACGGCUCACCAAGCCAUCGAUGGUUAGGGGUUCUGAGAGGAAGGUCCCCCACACUGGUACUGAGACACGGACCAGACUCCUACGGGAGGCAGCAGUGAGGAAUAUUGGUCAAUGGGCGAGAGCCUGAACCAGCCAAGUCGCGUGAAGGAUGACUGCCCUAUGGGUUGUAAACUUCUUUUACAGGGGAAUAAAAUGAGA